UGUGACAGAAAGGCCAGAUUAACAUGUGC
rnacentral:piRNA from 1 species